rnacentral:rRNA from 1 species
GACGAACGCUGGCGGCGUGCUUAACACAUGCAAGUCGAACGGAAAGGCCCUGCUUUUGUGGGGUGCUCGAGUGGCGAACGGGUGAGUAACACGUGAGUAACCUGCCCUUGACUUUGGGAUAACUUCAGGAAACUGGGGCUAAUACCGGAUAGGAGCUCCUGCUGCAUGGUGGGGGUUGGAAAGUUUCGGCGGUUGGGGAUGGACUCGCGGCUUAUCAGCUUGUUGGUGGGGUAGUGGCUUACCAAGGCUUUGACGGGUAGCCGGCCUGAGAGGGUGACCGGCCACAUUGGGACUGAGAUACGGCCCAGCCUCCUACGGGAGGCAGCAGUGGGGAAUAUUGCACAAUGGGCGGAAGCCUGAUGCAGCAACGCCGCGUGCGGGAUGACGGCCUUCGGGUUGUAAACCGCUUUCGCCUGUGACGAAGCGUGAGUGACGGUAAUGGGUAAAGAGGCACCGGCUAACUACGUG